GGGGGCUAGGAUGAAAAUUUUUGUCCUGCAUUUUUUUUUAGUUGUAAUCUCUGUCCUGCCUGUUUAUUUUUCACUCUAUUCAGUCCUGCCAUUUUUUUUUAUUAGUUUAUCCUGACUUUUUUUACCUAAAUUGUCAUCCUGCCUUUUUUUUUUUGCAAAGUGUCUCAUCCUGACUUUUUUUUUACUCAAAACUCCUGUCCUGCCUAUUUUUUUCAAAUUUCAUCCUAGCCACCCCACACCCAUAAAA
rnacentral:lncRNA from 1 species